rnacentral:rRNA from 1 species
GAGUUUGAUCAUGGCUCAGAACGUACGCUGGCGGCACGCCUAACACAUGCAAGUCGAACGAAGUAGCAAUACUUAGUGGCAGACGGGUGAGUAACAUGUAGGUAUCUGCCCUUUGGCCUGGAAUAACACGAGGAAACUUGUGCUAAUACCGGAUAAGUCUUUACGGAGAAAGCUUUAUGCACCAUUGGAUGAGCCUGCACUUGAUUAGUUUGUUGGUGGGGUAAUGGCCUACCAAGACUGUGAUCAAUAGCUGAUUUGAGAGGAUGAUCAGCCACAUUGGGACCGAGACACGGCCCAAACUCCUACGGGAGGCAGCAGUGGGGAAUCUUGCACAAUGGAGGAAACCCUGAUGCAGCGAUGCCGCGUGAGUGAAGAAGGCCCUUGGGUUGUAAAGCUCUUUCGUCGGGGAAGAAAAUGACUGUACCCGAAUAAGAAGGUCCGGCUAACUUCGUGCCAGCAGCCGCGGUAAUACGAAGGGACCUAGCGUAGUUCGGAAUUACUGGGCUUAAAGAGUUCGUAGGUGGUUGAAAAAGUUAGUGGUGAAAUCCCAGAGCUUAACUCUGGAACUGCCAUUAAAACUUUUCAGCUAGAGUAUGAUAGAGGAAAGCAGAAUUUCUAGUGUAGAGGUGAAAUUCGUAGAUAUUAGAAAGAAUACCAAUUGCGAAGGCAGCUUUCUGGAUCAUUACUGACACUGAGGAACGAAAGCAUGGGUAGCGAAGAGGAUUAGAUACCCUCGUAGUCCAUGCCGUAAACGAUGUGUGUUAGACGUUGGAAAUUUAUUUUCAGUGUCGCAGGGAAACCGAUAAACACACCGCCUGGGGAGUACGACCGCAAGGUUAAAACUCAAAUGAAUUGACGGGGACCCGCACAAGUAGUGGAGCAUGUGGUUUAAUUCGAAGAUACGCGCAGAACCUUACCAACACUUGACAUGUUCGUCGCGACUCUAAGAGAUUAGAGUUUUCGGUUCGGCCGGACGAAACACAGGUGCUGCAUGGCUGUCGUCAGCUCGUGUCGUGAGAUGUUGGGUUAAGUCCCGCAACGAGCGCAACCCUCACUUUUAGUUGCCAUCAUUAAGUUGGGCACUCUGAAAGAACUGCCAGUGAUAAGCUGGAGGAAGGUGGGGAUGACGUCAAGUCCUCAUGGCCCUUACGUGUUGGGCUACACACGUGCUACAAUGGUAUCUACAACAGGAAGCAAGACUGCGAAGUUAAGCAAAUCCCUAAAAGAUACCUCAGUUCGGAUUGCACUCUGCAACUCGAGUGCAUGAAGCUGGAAUUACUAGUAAUCGUGGAUCAGCGUGCCACGGUGAAUGCGUUCCCGGGUCUUGUACACACCGCCCGUCACACCAUGGGAGUUGGUUCUACCUUAAGGCAAGGUUUAAAACCCUUGACCACGGUAUAGUCAGCGACUGGGGUGAAGUCGUAACAAGGUAACC